rnacentral:rRNA from 1 species
GAUGAACGCUAGCUACAGGCUUAACACAUGCAAGUCGAGGGGCAGCAUGGUCUUAGCUUGCUAAGGCCGAUGGCGACCGGCGCACGGGUGAGUAACACGUAUCCAACCUGCCGUCUACUCUUGGACAGCCUUCUGAAAGGAAGAUUAAUACAAGAUGGCAUCAUGAGUUCACAUGUUCACAUGAUUAAAGGUAUUCCGGUAGACGAUGGGGAUGCGUUCCAUUAGAUAGUAGGCGGGGUAACGGCCCACCUAGUCUUCGAUGGAUAGGGGUUCUGAGAGGAAGGUCCCCCACAUUGGAACUGAGACACGGUCCAAACUCCUACGGGAGGCAGCAGUGAGGAAUAUUGGUCAAUGGGCGAGAGCCUGAACCAGCCAAGUAGCGUGAAGGAUGACUGCCCUAUGGGUUGUAAACUUCUUUUAUAAAGGAAUAAAGUCGGGUAUGCAUACCCGUUUGCAUGUACUUUAUGAAUAAGGAUCGGCUAACUCCGUGCCAGCAGCCGCGGUAAUACGGAGGAUCCGAGCGUUAUCCGGAUUUAUUGGGUUUAAAGGGAGCGUAGAUGGAUGUUUAAGUCAGUUGUGAAAGUUUGCGGCUCAACCGUAAAAUUGCAGUUGAUACUGGAUAUCUUGAGUGCAGUUGAGGCAGGCGGAAUUCGUGGUGUAGCGGUGAAAUGCUUAGAUAUCACGAAGAACUCCGAUUGCGAAGGCAGCCUGCUAAGCUGCAACUGACAUUGAGGCUCGAAAGUGUGGGUAUCAAACCAGG